AACGAACGCUGGCGGCAUGCCUAACACAUGCAAGUCGAACGAAGCCUUCGGGCUUAGUGGCGCACGGGUGCGUAACGCGUGGGAAUCUGCCCUUUGGUUAGGAAUAACAGUUGGAAACGACUGCUAAUACCGGAUAAUGACGAAAGUCCAAAGAUUUAUCGCCAGAGGAUGAGCCCGCGUAGGAUUAGCUAGUUGGUGUGGUAAAGGCGCACCAAGGCGACGAUCCUUAGCUGGUCUGAGAGGAUGAUCAGCCACACUGGGACUGAGACACGGCCCAGACUCCGACGGGAGGCAGCAGUGGGGAAUAUUGGACAAUGGGCGAAAGCCUGAUCCAGCAAUGCCGCGUGAGUGAUGAAGGCCCUAGGGUUGUAAAGCUCUUUUACCCGGGAUGAUAAUGACAGUACCGGGAGAAUAAGCCCCGGCUAACUCCGUGCCAGCAGCCGCAGUAA
rnacentral:rRNA from 1 species